UCAAAAUAUGGACAUCCCUUACAUGUGUGGAAAUGAGUUAUUCAAUAGCUCUGUCUACGUGGCACAAAGCUGAGAAAGAGGAAGUAAACAGGGAAAGACUUAUGUGCACUUUGAUGGAGUUCCAGGCAGGCUGCCCCAAGAUGGGCCACUCUGGUAUUCAGAUAUUUUGAACUGAAGACAAUAAAGGCUCAGACUCAACAAGGACAUUCGACCUUUCCCCCUUAACUGCAUAAAAGAAAUUUAAAAUAAAGGCCUGUCCCCAGGACAGGUCAUCACCAUGGAUAACUCUGGGUUCCAGUAGUCUGGGAGGAUCCUUGCUAAGCUCACCCUUAUCAAAGGUCUAUUUACCAAACAUUUGCUUGUCCAUUUCCAUGUAUGUUGCCUUCCUCCCCUUUGAAGCCCCAAAUCGCUACCCCAAAUAUCCUCCUUGUCUGUAGCUGAAGAUGCUUAAACAGGCAGCCUCGGCCAUUUGGCUGAGUUGCUCGGUUUACCUGAGCCUCUCCCCGGUAUACAUGUUAUAAAGCUUUGUUUAAUUUUCUCCUGUUAUUCUGUCUCAUAUGAAUUUAAUUCGUUUUCCGGCCAGAAGGACCCAGAGUGGGUAGAGGAAAUGUCUUCCCCCUGUACAGUUUGGUGACUUGGACAGGAUAAAAUUUCACUGGCUGGACACUGCUCACUCCUGGACUGCUGUAGCUGAGAGAUCCUGGACCUCUGACGAGAGCUGGCAAGAGGAAUAACCACGUUUCUUUGUCUAUCGUCAUUUUUGAGUCUUUGUCAUUUACAGACAGUUAUUGUUUUACUCUGAUGUUUUUUGCUUUUGCAAAUAUGUCUCAUCUUCAGAGAGAUUCAAGGAAAAGGACUCUGACACUUACUCUGGAAUGCAGGUUUCUGAUAAACUUUCAGAUCACAAAACUGAACUGGACAAGAAAUUACAGAAAUCUAACAGAGAACCUGAUGACCUUCUACUAACAGAAGAUUAAGAUCAAGAAUCAAUUAUACAGUACUACAUAAACUAAUGAGGAUAAUUAUAACUGUUUUAUGACUAUUGUUUGAAAUAAUAUUGAUUUUUUUGAUAUUUUGUGUUCUCAGAUUUAAGGAAAUCUUUUUCUCCCCACCUGAUCCCUCCAGAAUUUGGAAACUUAGUGAGUGAGUGACUAUUGUUAUUUUCAUGGCAAUAUAGUUAUUUGCAUAAGUUCAGUAAGAAUCUGUUCUCCUUAUAACAGGACACAAUAGGAAACACUGGUUAUCUUAUCAAAGCUUUGACUGGAAUGUCAUGUUUGAGAGAAACAGGUGUAGACUCGGAUAUGACCAGACAGCUUUUGAAAAACCAGGAUUGGACUUUAUGGAAUAAAGACACUUGGAAAUAUUGGCCUGGUGCCUUGUUUACAAGGAUUCCAGCACCCCAGGUAAGUAAGGAAGGUCACUUAUCUGGCAGGUGCCUGGAACUUUAAAAUAUUUUGGGGAACCUCAAGAGAAGAGAGGAAAUCACCCAAAUGUAAGGUAUUGCAGGCGAGGCCUGAUGGCGCAAAUCCUUGGCUUGGCUUUUCUGGCCUCGAGAGGCCUUUAAAGUUCAGUCUGAGAUUCCUCAUAAAAUGUUCCAGCAAAGAGAUUUAAAAGAGCCCACAUGAGCAAUUGCUAUUCCUGCUGCAUUUAUGUAAAUAAUUGGGCCAAUUUAUUGAAACCACAAAUAUUUUGCAAACCAGUUAGUCUUAAUUUGGCUAUCUUUGGUAAAAAUGAGAGUUAUUUUAGAGAGAAAAAUUAUGUUUCAGUAAAAAACUGUAACACAUUUGUGGAUAUUAGAUCCUAGUUCUGUUAAUUGUCUUUGAGGUUUUUUUUCUACCUGUGAACUGGACUGGAUCUUGAAUUCUUCUCCUGAAAUAUCUGGUUACAAAUCUCCAAACUAAUGUUUUCAAUUUUUUCGUCAUUUUCAUUUGGAGUCAUUGAGAAUUGAACCUGCUCUUUUUCCUGAAGCCUUGCAAACUAAAGCUGAACAACUUGGUAGAAACUUAAGAGAGAUUCCUGUCUGUUGCUGUGUAAGCUGUAAGCCACUCAGAAAGAAACCUGAAUGCCCGAUGACAUCAUCAGAGACGUUUCAAGCUGCAAGAGAUGCUCUGGCUCUGACAUCUAGAAAUCUUCUUGACUGCCUGCCCCCUGGGCUCAGGAACUGGUUUAUAGUUUGCUCCAAACAUUAACCUUGUUUUUCUUUGUAUUUCCAUAGAAAUACUUAGUAAAUACCUGAUUGCUUGCUUCCACAAUAUAGGCCCAACUUUGGGAGCCCACCUGCAUCACUGCCUUCCAAAAUGAAUUUAACUGGACUAAUCUAUUAUCAGGACUAAGAAAUGUGUUCAGUGAGAUGAAACAAUCUACAACUCAGCUUCUGGACUAUGAAACUUCUUAAAGUUUCAAAGGACUGUGAAACUUAAAAGUUUCAAAGGCGGGACAAAUUACAAACCUGGGUUCCUUUGUUCAUAAGAUUGUGCCACAUAAAUGUGCGAGUCGGAAAAUCGUGGAGAAUCUGUUUGUGUAUCACAACUCCAAGUUCUUUUCAGCAUUGAGAGUCUUAUUUCCCAGCUUUGGAGACUACGAGUUGAAAAAGGCUAUCUUAAAUCUCUCCAUGGUAACGGAACAAGAGUUCAACACCUCCACAGAAACUUUGAAAAUACUCCAGUCAGAGAUAACAGCCGAGCCUCUGUGGGACUCCAAAAUCGAUGUGCUCUGGAUACACUGACUGCCCAGCAAGGAGGAGCCUGUGCAAUCACUGGUGAAAAAUGUUGCUUUUAUGUGAAUCAAACUGGCCACCAGCUCAGCUUUUUAUGUGUGAAACUUCCAGGGAAGUUUCAGAGGAGAGAACUGAUGGGGUUCAGGGCUGGCUGCCCCAAGAUACGCCACUCUGGUAUUCAGACUAUUUUGAGCUGAAGACAAUAAAGGCUCAGACUCAACAAGGACAUUCGACCUUUCCCCCUUAACUGCAUAAAAGAAAUUUAAAAUAAAGGCCUGUCUCCAGGGCAGGCCAUCAUCAUAGAUAACUCUGGGUUCUGGUAGUCUGGGAGGAUCCUUGCUAAGCUCACCCUUAUCAAAGGUCUAUUUACCAAACAUUUGCUUGUCCAUUUCCAUGUGGGUUGCCUUCCUCCCCUUUGAAGCCCCAAACCACUACCCAAACUGUCCUCCUUGUCUGUAGUUGAAG
rnacentral:lncRNA from 1 species